CUGUGAACGCGAAUGGCCAUAAAUCAGUUUCGUUUUUUGAUAGUCCUUACUACAUGAUACCUGUGGAAUUCUAGAGCUAAUACAUGCUACAAACCCCGACUUCAGGAAGGGGUGUAUUUUUAGAUAAAAAACCAACGCCCUUCGGGGCUCCUUGGUGAAUCAUAAUAACUUAACGAAUCGCAUGGCCUUGCGCCGGCGAUGGUUCAUUCAAAUUUCUGCCCUAUCAACUUUCGAUGGUAGGAUAGUGGCCUACCAUGGUGGCAACGGGUAACGGAGAAUUAGGGUUCGAUUCCGGAGAGGGAGCCUGAGAAACGGCUCCCACAUCCAAGGAAGGAGCAGGCGCGAAAUACCAAUCCCGCUCGGGAGGAGUAAAACAUCUAUGGGAUAUCGUCCGAAUGAC
rnacentral:rRNA from 1 species